CCGAGUCUUUGGUGGCACUUCGGUGGCGGAUCCUUCAUUCGCUCCAGGUCUUUAGUAGCACUGAAGGACCCACCGCCGAAGUGCUGCCGAAAACCUGGAGCGCCGCCAGGUGAGUAAAAAUUAAAAAGGCGCCUCUAGCCAGGGAAGGGAUUCUCACUAGGCGCGGGGCCCUCUUAGGCAUGGGGCCCGAUUCGGGAGAAUUGGUGGAAUAGGCCUAAAGCCAGCCCUGCCCCCAAUCACUACAUUGAGCUCCCCUUACAUGGGAGAUGUUGGUCCAUAUCCAGCUGGGUUCUAAUAAUGGGUGUGUGGGGGGGAGUUUCUGAGAAAGAUGCUGGGGGAUCCAGGCAGGUUGCUGGUGUUAAAUUUGUUUGAAUAUUUUCGUGUAUUUUUCAGGAAGGGGCCUCUAGGAGCUCUUGUUUCCAGAAAAGUGACUGAAUACUUGUCCACAGACUAUAGCUGAUGAAUGAUUAAUAAUGUUUUAGAAAUGUAUUUAUUUAAUUAUUCAUACAUUUGGUACACCAACAGCAGCACUUAGACUUCAUCUAUCAGACUGUUAACUCAACCACUAAUCAAUGUUUAAGAGGGGAAGGAAGUCAAAAAGACUAAAAAGCAAAGACUAUUGUGUGGAGCCUGUGUCCUGUCCAAAUGUUAUAGAUACAAAGCUGCAAUGCUGGAAAAUUAACACCAGAGGGGACCAUUGGAUCAGUUCUCUUGGAAGUGAAGUUUCAAAGAAACUGUUUCAUAGAUGAACAGACAUCUGCACAUGUCAACACGGUGUCCAUUCUCAGCUCUGUGUACUUCCUAAGGAAGUAUACAUGUGUGACGCAGUUCCCUUCUUGUUACCUGUGAAGGUUUCAUUGAACAGGUGAUCAAUCAGCAGUGAUCUCUUUGUUCUCUGUACUGCUAGUGCUACCUCAGACAGGUUAAGAAAAUAUUUCCACAUAGAGUGUCCUGCACCUUCCUCCAAAGCACUGGAUACUGGCCUUUGUUGGAGACAGGACAGUGGGUUUGACGGACCCCUGCUAUGAUCCACUAUGGUAAUUCCUGCUUUGUUUUACUUCUCUAAUCCUUUAAUAUAGACAGGCACUACCACAGCUCUGGUGCUGAACAUAUCUGGGUCUGUAUUUACCUUAGUGCUAUAUAGCUAUUAUUGAACAUCUAGCUGGUUUUCAUUGCUUAAAAGGAAGUUGUGGUGGUGUAGUGCUAUUAAAGUUAGGAGCACCUCUCUGGCACCAGGACCCCACCAUGAUAGGUGCUUUACAUGCAUAGAAUAAAAAGACAGUUCUUCCCCCA
rnacentral:lncRNA from 1 species